GACGAACGCUGGCGGCGUGCUUAACACAUGCAAGUCGAACGGAAAGGCCCUGCUUUUGUGGGGUGCUCGAGUGGCGAACGGGUGAGUAACACGUGAGUAACCUGCCCUUGACUUUGGGAUAACUUCAGGAAACUGGGGCUGAUACCGGAUAGGAGCUCCUGCUGCAUGGUGGGGGUUGGAAAGUUUCGGCGGUUGGGGAUGGACUCGCGGCUUAUCAGCUUGUUGGUGGGGUAGUGGCUUACCAAGGCUUUGACGGGUAGCCGGCCUGAGAGGGUGACCGGCCACAUUGGGACUGAGAUACGGCCCAGACUCCUACGGGAGGCAGCAGUGGGGAAUAUGGCACAAUGGGCGGAAGCAUGAUGCAGCAACGCCGCGUGCGGGAUGACGGCCUUCGGGUUGUAAACCGCUUUCGCCUGUGACGAAGCGUGAGUGACGGUAAUGGGUAAAGAAGCACCGGCUAACUACGU
rnacentral:rRNA from 1 species